rnacentral:rRNA from 1 species
GUACACUCCUGCGGGAGGCAGCAGUGAGGAAUAUUGGACAAUGGGUGGAAGCCUGAUCCAGCCAUCCCGCGUGCAGGAAGACGGCCCUAUGGGUUGUAAACUGCUUUUAUCUGGGGAUAAACCUACUUACGUGUAAGUAGCUGAAGGUACCAGAAGAAUAAGCACCGGCUAACUCCGUGCCAGCAGCCGCGGUAAUACGGAGGGUGCAAGCGUUAUCCGGAUUUAUUGGGUUUAAAGGGUCCGUAGGCGGACUGAUAAGUCAGUGGUGAAAUCCGACAGCUUAACUGUCGAACUGCCAUUGAUACUGUUAGUCUUGAGUAAGGUUGAAGUGGCUGGAAUAAGUAGUGUAGCGGUGAAAUGCAUAGAUAUUACUUAGAACACCAAUUGCGAAGGCAGGUCACUAAGUCUUAACUGACGCUGAUGGACGAAAGCGUGGGGAGCGAACAGGAUUAGAAACCCCAGUAGUCCCAUGAU